GAAGGGAGGGGGGGCCCUCCUGCUCCUUUGGUUGCAGAGACACGUUGAGGCCAUAGAGCCCAGGGAAGUUCUGAGCACACAGAGGCCAGACCAGGGCAGUGCUGUGAGGCCCCAAAGAACCUUCGGUAGGCGACAUGAGUGGGGGACAGAUUCUAACACCUUGAUUCCUCAUGUGUGUGUUUCUGCAGCAUGGAGCAUUGACAGUCUGUGUGGCAGCAUCCACGAUGAAGAUGACACAGGUAGGAACAGCUCUCGGGUAGGGGCCAAUGGGAGAGGGUUCCCUGGACACUUGGGUUGCGCCUGCUGCUUGGGGUGUGGGGCAGGUGAGUCUGAAAUCUAACAACAGAAAGAAAUUGGUGUAAAGAUGUUCAGCGCCUGUUUUAAGAGGGAGAGGGAGCAGAUGAAGAGGUGCCGGAAUGUUGGCAUCUGUGCUCACAUUGGGUCGAAGGGUCUCAGUCCCUGGAGCCGAGGGAAGGUGUGGGCACCUGGAGGAAAAACCAGGGUGAUGCUCCGUGACCCGCAGUCACCUCAGGGACGGGGAGAAGCGGGAGGGCCGCUGUUUGUACGUCCUUGAUUCCCCGCGGUGUGUUUCUGCAGACUCGGUGGUGGAGAGCAGCAACAGCCACCAGGACGAGGAGGCUGCAGAAUCUUGCUUUGGGAGGAAAGGAUCUUGCUUCAGGAGCCUGAGGAUAAGUUUGUCCUCUGCGAGCUUGGCUAGACUAAUCCCCUGGUGGCCGCACAACAGGGUGCACCCAGCCACUGAGCCAGAUGAAGCAACGCACGACGAUGUUGUGGAGGCCGGUGGGAGUGAGAAGACCGAGGAGGAGGCCCAGGCUGUGACCAAGGAGGAGGAGGCGGGCCCGGCCCCUGAGAAGGGGGCAGAGGAGGCCGCAGCCGUUGGCGAGGCAGAGGAGGAGGCGGGCCCAGGCAGUGACAAUGACAAGACGUCCCCAGCCAGGGCUGGGGCUGAGCAGGAAGAUGAAUCUGCCCCCAAGGUAAGCUCACCUUUCUUGAUGUGAGAUUGCAAAAGUCGCCUCCUUUCUUUUUUGAUAUUCCUACUUGAGAAAUGAAAAUCUGAGGAAGUCCAUUGUUUAUGAGGCAUGCAGAUUCCUCUGCGGAGGAAUGUGGAGUCAACGUUUGGUACCAGCAACUAGCUCCUUCCAAGGGGCAUUUGCAAAGGGGAGCGCAUCCGUUCCCAAGGGUACAGUAGGGAGCAU
rnacentral:lncRNA from 1 species